AUAAAACGAACAGGUUGGACAAAACUUUAACCUAUUUGUCAUUAGUUUUUAAAACAGAAACAUUUAUGAAAUCCUUCAUCCCGAAGGUUUUCUUUCCAUAGGCUACUAGUUCAACAUCAUCACACAAACUCUGCUGAUUCCGGGCAGGUAAUGAACCGGUGUGCUCCUGCUGGCAACAACAUAAGAGCUUCUGUCCAACGUCACAUAACUCAACCUGUUUCUGAUGUGAAGCCAUUAUCAAAUUCAUUCAGAGCUUGAUGGGAACUCACCCCGACUGUCAGUACAGGUUUUUCAACAUUUCUGACUUCUGCUGACUGAAUUGUCUGUCUCCUAUUGGCUCAGCUGCUUUGCACUUCUGCUCCCCCACAGGGAAGGCUGGGAAGGUGGAGGAAGACGCC